UAUUGGGGGUGGAUAUUUCCAUACACUCUUGUUCAAGUUAUAGCUUCCACCAAUUCGCGUGCAAAGUAAACAUUCUGUAUUCUUCAGUUUCCUUUUAGCCAGCAGACAAGUUUUCGGAUUAGUUUCAACCGCAAAAAAAUCAACCUAAUUAACGCUUAAGCAAAACUCAUCCCACUCCAACUGAAAGAAUUGUACCUAAAAAAUGUCGAAAUAUCCCAACUGUGUCGGCCAAAAGUCAACUUACUACAGCACAGUAUACAAUGGAUCUGCUGUUAUGGAUGUAAAAUGUAAAUGAUACAAGAACAUCUAAAUGUUCUUCGAACUACUUUCCACAAUCGGUUUGAUCAUUUAUUUCACCAGAAAGAAAAUUUAAAAAGUAAAAAAAUAGACGUCCAUAGAAAUAAUGUAGUGUACGUGUAAAUGUAUGUACGUUUUUUUCGUACUGAUACUUACAAGCUGAUGAAAUUUAGAAGAGUUUAGGCCCUAAACUUUUGGGAUAUACAUACAUAUAUUUGUAUUAGUUUUGUGGUAAAUGUGCAUUUCUGAUCCCAAUAAUAAUAUGUCUAUCGUUUUUUACAUCUAGUCUCAGACUAUAAGAUCUAAACCAGAUUGGUUUUGUGUGCAGACUUCUUGACUCCUCCAGACUCCAGACCAAAAAUGUGUGGCGUUCAAAACUUUAAGGAACUUUUAAAGCGCAGACUCAUAAACAAUGACCAUGUCUGCACGAUUGCUGAAUCUGGAUCAGAUAAAUAUUAUUGACUUCAGAAGAAUGUGAAAAUAAAUGUUCCGUGGCUGCGCUACCCCCUUUCAUGCUUUCACUUUCUGAAUUUAAAAUAUUUAAAAAUGGAAACAGAUAAAAUAUUAUCAAAUUUGAGUGACUGCGGAAAAGGUUUAAAGUUACCCCACGUUACUAAAUGUUGGAAGAAAAUAUAUGUAUAUUCUAAAUUUGCUUCCUAUCGACCUCAAACUUUUUUAUUGUUGAAACUUUAAUAUUAACCAAUUCGGCGCACCUGCCAUUAAAUGAUUCUUGCCCUACCACUCGAUACCUGCACAUCGUCGCCGCCAGGAUUAGGCAUUCAAUAAGACACCCCCAUUAACCGACUAGCCUCUAAAAUAUGGUACGGCCUUCUACGACCUAACCAACCUGACUCUAAUGCCCUCUCCCUCGUUCCUACAUACCUUGUGUUCGCGAACGUUCUACCGCUGUAAUAUUUGUAUGUACAAUGUAUGUAGAUACGUACACUACAUAAUAAAUGAGGAGGAACUUUGUGAGACGCGCUGGAACGCUCCACAUCUUAUGCUCCACAUCUAUGCUAUGCACUCAGUCAGUAGCUCAGUCACUGUCUGAAACGACUUGAUUAUUUUUUAAUUGUUCUGUGUGUGCCUGUUGGGAAUAUUCGUUCUUAUCUUUUUGGUCUUAGGCUUUUUGCUAGUGCAUUUAAAUUGCCAUAUAACUAAAUUUGUAAAUUUUUAAAUAUUUCAAUAAUUUUUAGAUAGUUUUGUCAUUUAUUUAAUAGAAAUUUGUUUAUGUAAAACAAAUUGUAGGUUCUAAAAAUAUUCAGGAACAAAGAUAUAUACCAAUAAAUCCCUAUGGUCUGAUGGCAACUCCAAAUGUUCGGAUAAUUAAAAAACGAAAUACAGCAAAUAAAAAAGAGCGAAGACGAACACAAAGUAUAAACAGUGCUUUUUCCUACCUUCGCGAACAAAUUCCAAACGUGCCAUCAGACACGAAACUAUCCAAGGUAAGAUUCUUACUGCUUAAAUCCUGUUAAUAAUGAGCUUCAAAUUUCAAAUAUGCUUCGUAUAAUGUACAUAAAGAUUUAGAAAGCCCGAAAACUAACCAUAAACAUCUUUGCUGAUGCAAAAAUAAAUAUAAAUAUUUAUAGUUCAAAUUUAUGUUGUUUUAUCUUUAUAAAUAGGCAUUUCCGUGUCGAUUUCUGCACUUUAACCUAUUUUAAAAUUAGAUUCGUAUAACUAAUUAUUGCACAUUCAAAAAAUAAAUUCGGUUUGCACUCGUUUUCCCAAAUCGCUUUAUUGCAAUCCAUUAAGAUGGAAAAAAUGGAUGGAAAAAAUUCAAAGAGACCGAAUAAAGCUUAAGUUAACGGUCCAUUUAAAUUUUUCCUGUACUUCAUUAUUGUAAUUGCUUCGCAGCAGCGUUAGAAAAUGCUACCCUACUCUGUAGUUUUUCUGUUUUGCUGUAGUUUUAUCGGUAGCAAUAGCAGGAGCAAUAUCAAGAACCAAAGUAGCUCAGAGCUGCGAGCAAGAUGAGAGCUGAGCCAACAAGGAGGAACGUUUUGAGACUUAUAUACCCUUAUAUACCAUUCAUACCCGGUACAUAUGUAUGUACAUACAGCUCACUGAUUAGUGACUAACUGUGUCUGGGCCGCUAGCACAAAUUACGGGCCGAAAUGAAACAAAAUCGACCAAAUGUGUGUAUAUUAAGUAGGUCUGCGAAUAGGUCGUAAAGUAUUUUUGACAUUUUAAUCACGGUUUAAUUUUUUUGUAUCAAGUUCUUCUUUGCAUUAGUUGUAAGUGUGCUUUUUCGACAUAAUCUAUAAAUCAUCUGUGUGAUUAUUCAGAUGUUUAUGAAUUUCGAAAAUUAGUUUAAUAAAUAAAAAUAUAGUCCGUUAUCUGUUAAUAUGUGUAAUGUACAUGCAAAUAUUAUAUCAGUUCUACAAUACUAAAGCACCAUACUACUUAAUUCUAUUGUAACAGAUUAAAACAUUGAAACUGGCAAUUUUAUACAUAAACUACUUAGAGGAUGUUCUGGAUGGAGAACAGGAUGAAAAAGGCGUUUUUCUGGCAGACCUUAAUUCGACACAUCGUAAAACAUGUAGCGAUCAGAAUAAGUCCCUAAAUAGUGAUUUUCACGUAAGAUUAAUAUUUACAUUAUAUAUAAUUAUUUGAGGUCUUUUUGCGCUGCCGCCCGCCUGUUAUUUGUGUUAUAUUUUAAUAAAUUAAUUUUUUUUAAUUGUUUGACUAUUUGCUCAAAUAAGCUCACAUUGAUACGUACUGUAUAUAGCUCAAAAUGUUCACGAUCAUUUUUUUUGCGUUUGACGCGACUGUAUUCGUUUAAUGCUAUUUGAAGUAGUGGUAAAAAUUAUAUAUGUAUACCGGACUGUGCUCCUAAUAUCGCUAGACCUCGAUGUUCUUCGUUUAAUCAAAAAAUGUAUCUAUGAGCUAAGCAACGUCUCACAAUGUUCGUCCUCGUUUUUUUGUGUACCCCCACCGCCAUCCUACACCUUUAAAUUCCGUACCAGCAACAGGUUAAAGAUUGUCAAUAAUCAAAAUAUUAAACAGUCGCACCGAAAAAUAAAGUAAUAAAAUGUGCUCUUGUUUUUUUACAGAAUAUUCGAAUACCGACUAAUGGAAGAACAGGUUGGCCACAGGAUGUUUGGGCUUCUGAGCUUAAUCCUGAUCAAAACUAGACUUAACUGUAUUAAAUUAAUGAUUAAUUAUAAAAAAA
rnacentral:lncRNA from 1 species